CUCGCCAUGACUUCCGUGAGUGUAGGAUGGCGUAUGAAACCAUUCCAAGACGAUGAGGCUAGCUUCAAACUAUUACAGUGAAGAAGGCGCUGCUGCAGUCCAGUGCCAUCUUGGAGGCCUUUGGCAAUGCCGAGACCAACCGCAGUGACAACUCCUCCCGCUUUGGCAAGUACAUGGACAUCAACUCUGACUUGGUAGCCACGCACAGAGUUACCUGCUGGAGAGGUCCCGUGUCGUCCUCCAGCAGCCAGGAGAAAGAAACUUCCACUCAUCCUAUCAGGGUGACAUGAAUUCACUUCUGGGGGUGAUGUGUCGCCGGUCAGGUGACCAAGGCACUAUGCCGUCGCGUGAUUGCAGCGAGAGGCGAGGUCAUGGAGAAGCGGCACACAGAGAGCGAGGCCAGCUAUGGGCGUGAUGUCAAGUCAUAGGCAGCCUCCUUAAUCACAUUUGGUGAGCGAGUGAUUUAGCGAGUAGUAGUUGAGUCAGGAGACAAAGGACGUUGAUCUCCAGGGUAAGGGAUGAAUUUUUUAUUUGGGUGGAAACUGCAGUCCAUGGUGUUGAGAGUACAUCUGACAAGUUGAUAAUUGUGUUCUAACUCCCGUCUUUCUUUAUAUCUCUGUUAUUCUCUCUCUACUUUAUUUCAAAUAUUAAUUGUAGUAUGGGUUUUAUCCGCUGCUAUUUGAAGAAGGAAGGAGCCAUUAAAGGCACCUUGAAUACCGCGCAUAACUCUUACAGGUGAUCGCUGGAGACGUCCUCGUGGGGAA